rnacentral:piRNA from 2 species
UCUAGAUGUAGUGUAACUGAUGUAGUGUA